rnacentral:rRNA from 1 species
UACGGGGGGAGCAAGCGUUGUUCGGAUUUACUGGGCGUAAAGGGCGCGUAGGCGGCUUGACAAGUCACUUGUGAAAUCUCCGGGCUUAACUCGGAACGGCCAAGUGAAACUGUCAUGCUAGAGUGCGGUAGGGGAGACUGGAAUUCCGUGGUGUAGCGGUGAAAUGCGCAGAUAUCAGGAGGAACACCGGUGGGCGAAGGCGGGUCUCCUGGGCCGUAACUGGACGCUGGAGGAGCGAAAGCGUGGGGAGCGAACAGG